rnacentral:rRNA from 1 species
GACGGAAGGUGCAAGCGUUGUUCGGAAUUACUGGGCGUAAAGGGCUCGUAGGCGGCCAACUAAGUCAUACGUGAAAUCCCUCAGCUUAACUGGGGAACUGCGUGUGAUACUGGAUGGCUUGGAUUUGGGAGAGGGAUGCGGAAUUCCAGGUGUAGCGGUGAAAUGCGUAGAUAUCUGGAGGAACACCGGUGGCGAAGGCGGCAUCCUGGACCAAUAUUGACGCUGAGGAGCGAAAGCCAGGGGAGCAAACGGG